AAAAAAAUGAUAAAAAAUCGGUUAUAGGAUGAAAAAAUGAUUAAAAAAUAUCAGAAGUUAAACACGGCUACAGGAUUGUGGCACAAAGACGAUAAAAAAUGAUAAAGAACGUGUACACGUGUUGGUCAUCGCGGGAAGGGAAAAGUUCGGCCUUUCCAUUUGUUUCCAGAACGAGGCUUUUCCAUUUGUUUCCAGAAGGAUCUCUCCCGUUCUCUCUCAAAACCGUGAACCACAAACCACGAACCACAACAUCCUUCUCAGUUCGACGGCAUCUCAUCCCUCCUCCUCCGUUGUACAACAUCUCGCCCUCCAGGCUCCUCUCUCCUUCCUCCUCCUCCGUUGGGCAGCAUCUCCUCCGCUCUUUCUCAUGGGUAUUUUUUUUCAUCUUUGUAUUUCCUCAGAUCCCUUCUGCUUUUACCAAUUACCGCGUAUAAAUACAACAUAAUCUCCACUCUCUCUCAUAUCCUUCCCACUAGGCGAUGAUGGCAGCGAGGGGCAUCUCGCUCCGCGUUGUCGAAGGCCAGGUCUCUUCCUCUGCUUCCACUCCAUUCAUUUUAUUUUUUUAUUUUUCAUCUUGAAAAAUGAAAAAAGGCUUGGCUUUCUGAUUUUCCAAUGCUAUUAUAUAUACUUUCUUAUUUAUGGAAAUUAGUUCUGAUUUUCCAGUUCACCCAAACCGAAUUUUGACUUUUGGUCGAUUUUCAGCUAUUCCACUCCAUACACAACCAAACGCCAGAACAAGGUAAUGUGUCUCACUCUCAGUCUUUGUUUUAUCUACCCUUUUGUUUAUUUAGGCUGAAAGAUUCCAAGAAUUAUAAUUUAGAAACUGCAAAGCAGUGGGUUGUGGGUCUAUGUUUCUAACUGUUAAUGAGUUGGAUUUUUGAAGGUAAGAAUUCAAAAGUGGGUACUUUUUGGUUAUUUGGUGCAUUAGGUUUUUGUAGUUUGAGGAGAAUUUUUAACAGUGGCCACAUCUGAAUGAGCUGGUGUAGUGCUACACCACAAACUGGAUGAAGGUCACAAUAAGUAUUAGUCACUACGAGAGCGUUGGACUGUCCUCAUUCUGGAACCAGGUUUAAGAGGGCCCUGACACUAACAUUGAAACCGGUAUAUAACCCUCUUCUUUUCGUCUUUUAGUCUUUCGCUUACUCAAGCAUAUGCUGUCAUUUAAAAUUAGUGGUCCGGUUAAUGUACCUACAGUAUCAGUAGUUCCUCUCUUUUUAAUAGAGUUAUUCCCCUUCUUGCGCACGUAAAAUCUUCAUGUUUGUAAAUGCACACAUCAUAUGACUUUUAACACAAGUCUUGCUUCUAUCAUUUGAUGUUGCUGUGGGACUUUGAGUAUUAUCUUCAACAACUUCACUAGAGGACGCGCUUUUAGUGAGGUGGUGGUUGAAGCAAAGCAGGCAGGUUGAAGCAAAGCAAAGCAACAAAUAUAGGGCCUUUUGAAAAAACUGAGUUGCCCAGGCUGAUCAAAGAGAAAUCAGUUCUUAGUCACAAUCAUAUAAAAAACAUGAUAUACAAGAUUUAUUCUGUACGAUUCUCUGGUUAGGGUAAGCAUUUUGUUGAGCUUUGAUUUUGUGAGGAGGUUUGAGUGGCUUUGUCAUAGAGAUAUUUCAGAAGGGAAUCAGACUUUCCAAUUUCAAGACUAAUGCUUUAAGUUCGUGAUUUACAAAGUUAGCAAAUGCUAAGCUUUUACUAGCUCAGUUCAUGGGACAACAUCUGCUACCUCAACCAACAGUACAGGACGAAAACUUUUCAUGUUCCAGUCGUAAUCUUUUUUGUGCGGAAGGCUAGUAAUCAAUAAUCCUAGCGCGUGAGCAGGCCGCGUCAACGACUCAACAACACGUGAGAUACUGCCACGUACGUCCAACACCAAGAUACCCGUGAUUGAAGCUGGGCGCUGUUUUUUCCUUUAUCUGUUUAUUGAUUGAUUUGUUUAAUGAGAUAAGCUCAAACACUGGAAGAGUGAAACUGAAAUUGAACACAGCAAAGGACACGAGGAGAAAUUAUGGGAUAUUACAGUA